rnacentral:tRNA from 1 species
GGGCCCGUAGCUCAGCUGGGAGAGCGCCUGCUUUGCACGCAGGAGGUCAGCGGUUCGAUCCCGCUCGGGUCCACCA